AGUGAACGCUGGCGGUAGGCCUAACACAUGCAAGUCGAACGGCAGCACAGUAAGAGCUUGCUCUUACGGGUGGCGAGUGGCGGACGGGUGAGGAAUACAUCGGAAUCUACUUUUUCGUGGGGGAUAACGUAGGGAAACUUCCGCUACUACCGCAUACGACCUACGGGUUAAAGCAGGAGAUCUUCGGACCUUUCGCGAUUGAAUGAGCCGAUGUCGGAUUAGCUAGUUGGCGGGGUAAAGGCCCACCAAGGCGACGAUCCGUAGCUGGUCUGAGAGGAUGAUCAGCCACACUGGAACUGAGACACGGUCCAGACUCCUACGGGAGGCAGCAGUGGGGAAUAUUGGACAAUGGGCGAAAGCCUGAUCCAGCCAUACCGCGUGGGUGAAGAAGGCCUUCGGGUUGUAAAGCCCUUUUGUUGGGAAAGAAAAGCAGCAGGUUAAUACCCCGCUGUUCUGACGGUACCCAAAGAAUAAGCACCGGCUAACUUCGUG
rnacentral:rRNA from 1 species